rnacentral:SRP_RNA from 2 species
GCUGGGUGUGGUGGUGUAUGCCUGUGGUCCCAGCUACUUAGGAGGCUGAGGCAGGAGGAUCGCUUGGGCCCAGGAAGUUGAGGCUGCGGUGAGCCAUGACCACACCACUGCACUCCAGCCUGGGCAACAGAGUGAGACCUUGUCUCAA